rnacentral:lncRNA from 1 species
UCCUGAAUAGGUACUUGGGCCAAAUUCUGUCGGAUCUUUUACAUCGGUAGAAAUGCAACAUCCAUAGAUGAGUCCAAAACCCAUCACUGGCCAAGCAGAAGCGCCAAGCAAGACUUGAGUGCAUUCGAAACUCGCCUAAGUAUGUCUAAGUGCGGUGGAAGAGUAAAAAAAAUUCGGCCCAUAACCUCUUAAUCGACACCCCCCCUCUCCUCCUUUAAUAUGAGGUCGGAAGUUCUCCCGGCGAGAUUCCCGAUCGAUUGAUCUUAGAUAGGUACUUAAAGAAGACCGAAAUUUACAGGUGUGUCGUGAUUCAAUUUUUUUGUUUCCAGCUGAUGCGGUAUCAAAGAGCAGUACGAUAUUUUACGAAAUUCAAGGGCUCCUGAACAUCACGAACGCAAAGAAUGUAUCCUUAUCAUUGCCACCCGGAGGCACAUAAGAUAUGUCACCGUCCAGAGAGACGAAGAGUUCUGGAUUAAGAACAUGUUGGACAAGAUCGUGAAUUUCUACGAGACGACUCUACUACCCAAACUGUCGGGGAGAAAUGUUGCCUCAUAUGCAGAAUGUACGAUAUGCAGCAAAACUUGUUUACACUGUCUUGAGCACGUUGGAUAAUAAGAGAGUUCGGGAAAUUUAUGAUGACACGAAAGGUGCAGGCGCCUACGACGUGUUGAUGACAGAAUCUCGUGUCCGGAUAAUGCCCGAACAUUACUAUCUCGUUAUGGAUCCCGCGAUACGGAAUAAAGAAAGAGUGAGGGAAAUCUUGAAAGGCUAUCAUACGUCCAGAGAAAGCUGGAUCUCGAGCAGAGUUCCAGAAAGAAGUUCCUCGAAAGUUACCUGGCUGCAAACCCCGGGUGGGAUAUCGAAGACGGUGGGUUGAUGAUCGACCGGGCGACGCCGUACCUGGCGGCGUAUCCUACCGCCUUCGGAGUCCGUACCCCCCCGGCGCCUCAAAACACUCGAUCAAGAAGCACCAGAGGAUUCGAAGUCUACAGCUUGGAAGAUAGGCACUCCCAACCCAAGGCACCGCAGCCGCCGCAACCUCGCAGUAAUGGCUCCCAACCAAGGAGCAAUGGAGGAAUAAAAGUCGAUUCCCAGAAACCUGGAAGUUCACCACAAAAAUCCAGGAAGAGAAGAGGCAGAAGGUCAUUUUCGAAGUCGUUAUGCUGGACAGCGCAGAUAAAAAGCUCUUGAAUACGAUUCUAUAUGUUGAGAAAGCACGAAGGUAACGAAUUUGAAAUACUUACAAUGUAGGAUUUGCACACACAAAAUUUAUUGCUUCAUCUGUGAGUGCCUAAUGAGCUGAAUUCGCAGUAUU